rnacentral:rRNA from 1 species
AUGGGCACAUGCUUCUCCGUACUGAUUCCUAUGGAAUUAGCCCGACCCGACGAUCAAAUUCUUGGUGGGAAUCAUCAACUUUAUUAUUUUUUAAUAACGACUCGUGCUUUUUUAAUGAUCUUUUUUAUGGUUAUGCCAGUGAUGAUAGGUGGAUGUGGUAAUUGGUUUGUUCUGAUUCUGAUAGGUGCACCUGACAUGGCAUUUCCACGAUUAAAUAAUAUAUCAUUCUGGUUGUUGCCACCAAGUCUCUUGCUCCUAUUAAGCUCAGCCUUAGUAGAAGUGGGCAGCGGCACUGGGUGGACAGUCUAUCCGCCCUUAAGUGGUAUUACCAGCCAUUCUGGAGGAGCAGUUGAUUUAGCAAUUUUUAGUCUUCAUCUAUCAGGUAUUUCAUCAAAUUUAGGUUCUAUCAAUUUUAUAACAACUAUCUUCAACAUGCGUGGACCUAGAAUGACUAUGCAUAGAUUACCACUUUUUGUGUGGUUCAUUCUAGUGACAGCAUUCCUACUUUUAUUAUCACUUCCGGUACUGGCCGGGGCAAUUACAAUGUUAUUAACCGAUCGAAACUUUAAUACAACCUUUUUUGGUCCUGCAGGAGGGGGAGACCCAAUAUUAUACCAGCAUCUCUUUUGGUUCUUCGGUCAUCCAAAGGUGCAUAUUCUCAUUCUACCUGGAUUUAGUAUUAUUAGUCAUAUCGCAUCGACAUUUUCAAGAAAACCGGUCUUCGGGUAUCUAGGCUUGGUUUAUUCCAUGAUAAGUAUAUGUGUUCUUGGAUUUCUAGUUUGGGCUCAUCAUAUGUUUACUGUGGGCUUAGAUGUUGAUACACGUGCCUACUUCACUGCAGCUACCAUGAUCAUAGUUGUGCCCACAGGAAUCAAAAUCUUUAGUUGGAUCGCUACCAUGUGGGGAGGUUCGAUACAAUAUAAAACACCCAUGUUAUUUGUUGUAGGGUCCAUCUUUUUUUUCACCAUAGGAGGGCUCACUGGAAUAGUUCUAGCAAACUCUGGGCUAGACAUUGCUCUACAUGAUACUUAUUAUGUGGUUGCACAUUUCCAUUAUGUACUUUCUAUGGGAGUCGUUUUUGCUUUAUUUGCUGGAUUUUACUAUUGGGUGGGUAAAAUCUUUGGUCGGACAUAUCCUGAAACUUUAGGCCAAAUCCAUUUUUGGAUCACUUUUUUUGGGGUUAAUCUGACCUUCUUUCCCAUGCAUUUCCUAGGGCUUUCGGGUAUGCCACGUCGCAUUCUAGAUUAUCCAGAUGCUUACCCCGGAUGGAAUGCUCUGAGCAGUUUCAGUUCUUAUAUAUCCGUAGUUGGGAUUCGUCGUUUCUUCGUAGUUGUCGCAAUCACUUCAAGCAGUGGAAAGAACCAAAAAUGUGCGGAAAGUCCUUGGGCUGUUGAACAGAAUCCAACCACACUAGAAUGA